rnacentral:rRNA from 1 species
UACGUAGGUGGCAAGCGUUGUCCGGAUUUACUGGGCGUAAAGAGCGCGCAGGCGGUCGUUCAAGUCGCGUGUGAAAGCCCCCCGGCUCAACUGGGGAGGGUCACGCGAUACUGAUCGACUCGAAGGCAGGAGAGGGAAGUGGAAUUCCCCAAGUAGAGGUGAAAUUCGUAGAUAUGGGGAGGAACACCGGUGGCGAAGGCGGCCGACCUGGACGGUAACUGACGGCUGAGACGCGAAAGCGUGGGGAGCAAACAGG